GGCACUGCCCGGUAGCUAAAUGCGGAAGAGAUAAGUGCUGAAAGCAUCUAAGCACGAAACUUGCCCCGAGAUGAGUUCUCCCUGAGACUUUAAGUCUCCUGAAGGAACGUUGAAGACGACGACGUUGAUAGGCCGGGUGUGUAAGCGCAGCGAUGCGUUGAGCUAACCGGUACUAAUGAACCGUGAGGCUUAACCUU
rnacentral:rRNA from 1 species